CUUUCUUGCACUCAUUGUUCUCUUCUCGAGCAAAACUCCAGUUUCUCUCGGCUGCUCUACCCUAAUCUAGAUCUCCGAAGAUGACUAACCAGGCCGAGUCAUCUGACUCAAAAGGUGCGAAGAAGGAUUUCUCUACCGCGAUUUUGGAGAGGAAGAAGUCUCCUAAUCGGCUUGUUGUUGAUGAGGCGGUCAACGAUGAUAACUCUGUUGUUGCACUGCACCCUGCUACUAUGGAGAAGCUACAGCUCUUCCGUGGAGAUACAAUUCUCAUCAAGGGAAAGAAAAGGAAGGAUACAGUUGUCAUUGCUCUUGCUGAUGAAACAUGUGAUGAGCCAAAGAUUAGGAUGAACAAGGUUGUCCGUUCAAAUUUGAGGGUCCGUCUUGGAGAUGUUGUGUCUGUGCACCAAUGCCCAGAUGUUAAGUAUGGGAAGCGUGUCCACAUACUUCCUAUAGAUGAUACAAUAGAAGGUCUCACCGGGGAUUUGUUUGAUGCGUUCCUGAAACCGUACUUUUUGGAAGCAUAUCGUCCUUUGAGGAAAGGAGACAAUUUUCUUGUUAGAGGGGGGAUGAGAAGUGUGGAAUUCAAAGUCAUUGAGACUGACCCAGGGGAGUAUUGUGUUGUUGCCCCAGACACUGAAAUCUUUUGUGAGGGGGAGCCUGUUAAAAGGGAGGAUGAGGAGAGACUGGACGAAGUUGGCUAUGAUGAUGUUGGU
rnacentral:misc_RNA from 1 species